GUGAAUCAUCGAAUCUUUGAACGCACAUUGCGCCCAUUAGUAUUCUAGUGGGCAUGCCUGUUCGAGCGUCAUUUCAACCCUUAAGCCCUUGUUGCUUAGCGUUGGGAGCCUACGGCACCGUAGCUCCCCAAAGUCAGUGGCGGAGCCGGCUCACACUCUAGACGUAGUAAUUACUCACCUCGCCUAUAGUUGGACCGGUCCCCUGCCGUAAAACGCCCCAGUAUCUAAAAGGUUGACCUCGAAUCAGGUAGGAAUACCCGCUGAACUUAAGCAUAUCAAUAAGCGGAGGA
rnacentral:misc_RNA from 1 species